GACGAACGCUGGCGGCGUGCUUAACACAUGCAAGUCGAACGGAAAGGCCCUGCUUGCAGGGUACUCGAGUGGCGAACGGGUGAGUAACACGUGGGUGAUCUGCCCUGCACUUCGGGAUAAGCCUGGGAAACUGGGUCUAAUACCGGAUAGGAGCCAUUUUUAGUGUGAUGGUUGGAAAGUUUUUUCGGUGUAGGAUGAGCUCGCGGCCUAUCAGCUUGUUGGUGGGGUAAUGGCCUACCAAGGCGGCGACGGGUAGCCGGCCUGAGAGGGUGGACGGCCACAUUGGGACUGAGAGACGGCCCAGACUCCUACGGGAGGCAGCAGUGGGGAAUAUUGCACAAUGGGCGCAAGCCGGAUGCAGCGACGCCGCGUGGGGGAUGACGGACUUCGGGUUGGAAACUCCUUUCGCUAGGGACGAAGCUUUUUGUGACGGUACCUAGAUAAGAAGCACCGGCUAACUACGUG
rnacentral:rRNA from 1 species